GACACCCUUUAGUCCUGCAACGGGAUGGGAUCCGAAGCCUCCUGAAGGUCCAUCCAACGCCUAUUCCGACACGUCCACGUCGUGCAUGGCCAUGGUAACAUGGCCCUAAACCCAACCGUAGGGCUGGUGACGGCUCAUGACUAAGGAGGAAGGG
rnacentral:ribozyme from 1 species